CACGUAGGGCGCAAGCGUUGUCCGGAAUUAUUGGGCGUAAAGAGCUCGUAGGUGGCCUGUUGCGUCCGCUGUGAAAACUCAGGGCUUAACCCUGAGCCGGCAGUGGAUACGGGCAGGCUAGAGGUAGGUAGGGGAGAAUGGAAUUCCUGGUGUAGCGGUGAAAUGCGCAGAUAUCAGGAGGAACACCGGUGGCGAAGGCGGCUCACUGGCCCGGUACUGACGCUGAGGCGCGAAAGCGUGGGGAGCAAACAGG
rnacentral:rRNA from 1 species